CAGGUGAGGCCAGGGUUGAUUAAAGGUGUUCCAGGUGAGGCCAGGGUUGAUUAAAGGUGUUCCAGGUGAGGCCAGGGUUGAUUAGAGGUGUUCCAGGUGAGGCCAAGGUUGAUUAAAGGUGUUCCAGGUGAGGCCAAGGUUGAUUAAAGGUGUUCCAGGUGAGGCCAAGGUUGAUUAAAGGUGUUCCAGGUGAGGCCAAGGUUGAUUAAAGGUGUUCCAGGUGAGGCCAAGGUUGAUUAAAGGUGUUCCAGGUGAGGCCAAGGUUGAUUAAAGGUGUUCCAGGUGAGGCCAGGGUUGAUUAGAGGUGUUCCAGGUGAGGCCAAGGUUGAUUAAAGGUGUUCCAGGUGAGGCCAGGGUUGAUUAGAGGUGUUCCAGGUGAGGCCAAGGUUGAUUAAAGGUGUUCCAGGUGAGGCCAAGGUUGAUUAAAGGUGUUCCAGGUGAGACGUGAGAAUAAUAAGUGGAUGGUGGAUAUAGGGAUGAAGGGAGGAUAGAUAGGAAAAGGGCAAAGACAAGAUGGAAUAGAAGGAAGGGAAGAAGGAAAGAAAGAAAGGAAGGAGAAACGUAUGAGCAAAGAAUGAAAAUAAUGACAGGUGAGGAAGGAAGGAGGAGGAAGUAAUGAGAGAAAGAAAGGAGAAAGGGAUAGAGAAGGAAGGAAGAAAGAAAGAAAGGAAGGAAAGAGAGGGCGAUAGGAGAGAAGAGGAAAAGGGAAAGACAAGAAGGAAUGAGAGAAAACGGAGGAAAGAAAGAAA